UACGUAGGGCGCGAGCGUUGUCCGGAAUUAUUGGGCGUAAAGAGCUCGUAGGCGGCCUGUUGCGUCCGCUGUGAAAGCCCGGGGCUUAACCCCGGGUCUGCAGUGGAUACGGGCAGGCUAGAGGUAGGCAGGGGAGAAUGGAAUUCCCGGUGUAGCGGUGAAAUGCGCAGAUAUCGGGAGGAACACCGGUGGCGAAGGCGGUUCUCUGGGCCUUACCUGACGCUGAGGAGCGAAAGCGUGGGGAGCGAACAGG
rnacentral:rRNA from 1 species